rnacentral:rRNA from 1 species
GAUGAACGCUGGCGGCGUGCCUAAUACAUGCAAGUCGAGCGAACGGACGAGAAGCUUGCUUCUCUGAUGUUAGCGGCGGACGGGUGAGUAACACGUGGAUAACCUACCUAUAAGACUGGGAUAACUUCGGGAAACCGGAGCUAAUACCGGAUAAUAUUUUGAACCGCAUGGUUCAAAAGUGAAAGACGGUCUUGCUGUCACUUAUAGAUGGAUCCGCGCUGCAUUAGCUAGUUGGUAAGGUAACGGCUUACCAAGGCAACGAUGCAUAGCCGACCUGAGAGGGUGAUCGGCCACACUGGAACUGAGACACGGUCCAGACUCCUACGGGAGGCAGCAGUAGGGAAUCUUCCGCAAUGGGCGAAAGCCUGACGGAGCAACGCCGCGUGAGUGAUGAAGGCCUUCGGAUCGUAAAACUCUGUUAUUAGGGAAAAACAUAUGUGUAAGUAACUGUGCACAUCUUGACGGUACCUAAUCAGAAAGCCACGGCUAACUACGUG